UACGGAGGGGGUUAGCGUUGUUCGGAAUUACUGGGCGUAAAGCGCACGUAGGCGGAUCAGAAAGUUGGGGGUGAAAUCCCGGGGCUCAACCCCGGAACUGCCUCCAAAACUUCUGGUCUGGAGUUCGAGAGAGGUGAGUGGAAUUCCGAGUGUAGAGGUGAAAUUCGUAGAUAUUCGGAGGAACACCAGUGGCGAAGGCGACCACCUGGACUGAUACUGACACUGAGGUGCGAAAGCGUGGGGAGCAAACAGG
rnacentral:rRNA from 1 species